GUGAAUUUGGUGUAGUGGUAUCAUAGUACUCUCCCACGGUAUUAAUUGGGGUUUGAUUCCUUGGAUGCACA
rnacentral:tRNA from 1 species